CAGUCGCCACGGGAAUACGUAGGGUGCAAGCGUUAAUCGGAAUUACUGGGCGUAAAGCGUGCGCAGGCGGUUAUAUAAGUCAGAUGUGAAAUCCCCGGGCUCAACCUGGGAACUGCAUUUGAGACUGUAUGACUAGAGUGUGUCAGAGGGGGGUAGAAUUCCACGUGUAGCAGUGAAAUGCGUAGAUAUGUGGAGGAAUACCGAUGGCGAAGGCAGCCCCCUGGGAUAACACUGACGCUCAUGCACGAAAGCGUGGGGAGCAAACAGGAUUAGAUACCCCCGUAGUCCCUGUCUCUUAUAC
rnacentral:rRNA from 1 species